rnacentral:ncRNA from 2 species
GCAAAAGUAAAUAUAUUCAUUCGUAUAAGUUGCAAAUAUGGUGCGGCGUCUCUACAACUAACCGUAAAUUAGUUUCUAUGAAAAAGAUAAAAGGGAUU